UUUAUGUACAGUUGCGGGUUUCUGUGUCCAACGUUUGACUGUCUAUCUUAUUUUUUUUAUGAUUACUAUUUUUAUUGUUAUUAGAUGAUAGAACAUGAAUAGUACUUUAUGCAUGACUUAUUUUUUUUAAUUUUUUAUAAAUUUUUUAAAUAAGACGGACGAUCAAACGUUGGACACGGAAUACAUAGCUACACUUAAA
rfam:Oryza meridionalis cultivar OR44 (W2112) chromosome 8, whole genome shotgun sequence.